AGAGUUUGAUCCUGGCUCAGGACGAACGCUGGCGGCGUGCCUAACACAUGCAAGUCGAGCGAGAGACUUCGGUCUCUAGCGGCGGACGGGUGAGUAACACGUGGGUAACCUGCCUCAUAGUGGGGGAUAGCCUUCCGAAAGGAAGAUUAAUACCGCAUAUACUCUCGAUACCACAUGGUAUUUAGAGGAAAGGAGCAAUCCGCUAUGAGAUGGACCCGCGGCGCAUUAGCUAGUUGGUGAGGUAACGGCUCACCAAGGCGACGAUGCGUAGCCGACCUGAGAGGGUGAUCGGCCACAUUGGAACUGAGACACGGUCCAGACUCCUACGGGAGGCAGCAGUGGGGAAUAUUGCACAAUGGGCGAAAGCCUGAUGCAGCAACGCCGCGUGAGUGAUGACGGCCUUCGGGUUGUAAAGCUCUGUCUUUUGGGACGAUAAUGACGGUACCAAAGGAGGAAGCCACGGCUAACUACGUGCCAGCAGCCGCGGUAAUACGUAGGUGGCAAGCGUUGUCCGGAUUUACUGGGCGUAAAGGAUGCGUAGGUGGAUAUUUAAGUGGGAUGUGAAAUACCCGGGCUCAACUUGGGUGCUGCAUUCCAAACUGGAUAUCUAGAGUGCAGGAGAGGUAAGUGGAAUUCCUAGUGUAGCGGUGAAAUGCGUAGAGAUUAGGAAGAACACCAGUGGCGAAAGCGACUUACUGGACUGUAACUGACACUGAGGCAUGAAAGCGU
rnacentral:rRNA from 1 species